AAUAAUAAAAAGGAAAUAUUUCAUACAAUAUAUUACAAAUAUGGCAAAAUAAUUGAGAAAAUGCAAAGUUAUAGAUAAAACCUUUUUGAAGCUUGGUCUUUGAAUUUUCCGAAUAUUUAUCUACUUUACAUGUAUUCUCCUUGUGCUCUAGAUUUUACUCCCAAAAAUACCUAGGAAAAGAAAAGAAGAAAGAAAAAAAGAAAAAAAAAUGAAAAUGAAAAUGAG
rnacentral:lncRNA from 1 species